rnacentral:lncRNA from 10 species
UUUCAAACGUGAACUAUCAAAGGAAGGUUCAACUCUGGACUUUCAAUGCAAACGUCAGAAAGAUGUUUCUGCGAAAGCUUCUGUUUAGUUAGGUGACGUUAUCCCGUUUCCAACGAAAUCCUCAGAGAGGUCCAAAUACCCACCUGCAGAGUCUACAAAAAGUGUGUUUCAAAACUGCUCCACCCAAAGGAAUGUUCAGCUCUGUGAGUUAAACUCAAUCAUCACAAAGUAUUUUCUGAGAAUGCUUCUGUCCAGUUUUUACAUGAAGCUGUUUCCUUUACUACCGUAGGCCUCAAAGCGUUCCAAAUCUCCACUUGCAGAUACUACGAAAAGAGCGAUUCAGCCUGAACUCACAAGGGAAGGUUCAACUCUGUCAUUUGAAUGCC